GCCCCCUCUGUCCAAGGCGUCACUGGAGGGAACGAUCCCGGCGGGCGAAAGCAUCUACGAUUGCCAAGUCCUAUCUCAACAGGAAGAGGAGCCUGCCGCCUCCAAGCCCACAUCCUGAAGGAUUGCCCGAAGAUGCACUCAGCCAGGUGGCGGAUCUUAUUGGUAAAGCGAGUCUCUGACCAUAGGGAUGUUUAAGAGCUGGUAAACUUCCGAAGCUCCAUCAAGGGUGCCCGCUUCAAUCAAAUGCAAAGGAAGGUCUAAUCAAGCAUUCUAGAAAAGACGGUUGUUAUAGCAACAGUACUGGUCAGGGUUCUGUUGGAAGAAAAAAAAAAAGGAGAAGAUCUGAUGACUGCUGAAGAUGAUCACCAGAGCCCACAUGCCACACAAUGCCCUCCUCGAGGAGACUAACGUCCUUAAGAAUGCUUCUCCAUGUAUAGAAAAUCAUGUCCCUUUCGGUCCCUAUGGUGGAUAACCACAGAUCACAUCAACAAAAAUCGCCACAAGAACUAGUGUAUCUAGUCUCUAGUGUUCGAUUAGAUCAAGGAGUGGACAGAGGCAGGUUUUGGUGUUGGUGGUUUAGACCCCUUUGUGAGAGAGUGAUCCUUUUUGUUUUUGUGGUGUGGGUGUGCCUACGUAGAUGUUCACAUCUACUUUAGGCUCUUGUAAUUAACUUUCUGCCUUCUAUAA